rnacentral:rRNA from 1 species
AUUGAACGCUGGCGGCAGGCCUAACACAUGCAAGUCGAGCGGAGCGGCGGACGGGUGCGUAAUGCCUAGGAAUCUGCCUGGUAGUGGGGGAUAACGUCCGGAAACGGGCGCUAAUACCGCAUACUAUCAGAUGAGCCUAGGUCGGAUUAGCUAGUGGGUGGGGUAAAGGCCUUCCAAGGCGACGAUCCGUAACUGGUCUGAGAGGAUGAUCAGUCACACUGGAACGGAGACACGGUCCAGAUUCCUACGGAGGGCAGCGUGGGGGAAUAUUGGACAAUGGCGGAAGGCCUGAGAAAGCCAUGCCGCGUAGUGGAAGAAGGUCUUCGGAUUGUAAAGCACUUUAAGUUGGGAGGCGUUACCAACAGAAUAAGCACCGGCUAACUACGUGCCAGCAGCCGCGGUAAUUC